UACGUAGGGGGCAAGCGUUGUCCGGAUUUACUGGGCGUAAAGCGCGUGUAGGCGGCCAGGCAGGUCCGUUGUGAAAACUGGAGGCUCAACCUCCAGACGUCGACGGAAACCGUGUGGCUAGAGUGCAGAAGAGGAAAGCGGAAUUCCACGUGUAGCGGUGAAAUGCGUAGAGAUGUGGAGGAACACCAGUGGCGAAGGCGGCUUUCUGGUCUGUAACUGACGCUGAGGCGCGAAAGCGUGGGGAGCAAACAGG
rnacentral:rRNA from 1 species